GGGAGUGUAGCUCAGUGGAAGAGCACUUGCCUAGCACAUAGGUGUGAGGCACUGGGUUCGAUUCUCAGCACCACA
rnacentral:tRNA from 1 species